UGCGUAGGCGGCGUUAUAAGUCAGAGGUGAAAGCUUGCAGCUUAACUGUAAAAUUGCCUCUGAUACUGUAGUGCUUGAAUCACGUUGAGGUCGGCGGAAUGUGACAUGUAGCGGUGAAAUGCAUAGAUAUGUCAUAGAACACCAAUUGCGAAGGCAGCUGACUAGGCGUGUAUUGACGCUGAGGCACGAAAGCGUGGGUAGCGAACAGGAUUAGAUACCCUGGUAGUCC
rnacentral:rRNA from 1 species